rnacentral:rRNA from 1 species
GACGAACGCGGGCGGCGUGCUUAACACAUGCAAGUCGAGCGGAAAGGCCCUUUCGGGGGUACUCGAGCGGCGAACGGGUGAGUAACACGUGAGUAAUCUGCCCCUGGCUUUGGGAUAGCCACCGGAAACGGGGAUUAAUACCGGAUACGACCACUUCUCGCAUGGGAUGGUGGUGGAGAGUUUUUCGGCCAGGGAUGUGCUCGCGGCCUAUCAGCUUGAUGGCGAGGUAAUGGCUCACCAUGGCUUCGACGGGUAGCCGGCCUGAGAGGGUGACUGGUCACACUGGGACUGGGACACGGCCCAGACUCCUUCGGGGGGCAGCAGUGGUGAAUAUUGGACAAUGGGCGGAAGCCUGAUCCAGCAACGCCGCGUGAGGGAUGACGGCCUUCGGGUUGUAAACCUCUUUCAGCAGGGACGAAGCGCAAGUGACGGUACCUGCAGAAGAAGCACCGGCCAACUACGUGCCAGCCGCCGCCGUAA